AUGGUGGAGCCGCUUGGUCGACGGGCUGAGGCAGAGUCUUGGACUCAGAGGCUGGAGGUGGAGGCAAGGGAUUCUCCAUCCACGCAAAUGAGGGAGACUGACAAAACCGCUGUGCUCCCACUAAACAGAUCGUGGGAUGAGGGUGAGCAGAGGGGCUGCCAGACGACAACAGUGGAAGAGUCAGAUGACUUGAGUCAUGAAGCCUCUGGAUCAUUUGGGGAUGCGGCCACAUCACCCUCCUCAACCCAUUUGUUUGGCGGCUUCCAUAUGACAGACAGGAAUCCAGCUUCUGUAGUCCAAUCAGAUCCCACAGGCUCGUCAAAGGGUAGCAGGGAACAACCUGCAUUUUCCUCUGUACUCACAUUACUUGCCAGCACAGCCCAAAAGCCUCCCAAACUGUCGUCAAAAGUUGUUGCACGUGGCAAUGAAACACAUCAAUGGCCUUCUAAUGGAUCUUUGGAACGAGUGGCGCCAUUUACUCUCCCAUCGUCUGUGCUGGUCGGCAACCAAUCCAAUAACUCAGAGUUUCAAUGGAUAUCUGAGCUGGAGGCACCUGCAGCCUCUAGAGCUGCAGACCCUGAUUCUAGCAGAUUGAUUUCACCUGAGCAGAAAAACACUGCUGCACCCAAUAGAUCUUCAGCUACAUCUGUGGACACACAACGAGAACGACCUGACAUUGCAACCACUAUUGUAUCUCAACCUACAGUAUUUAACAGCAAUACUGUUACCACAACCAGCAUCCCCUUUACAACAACAACAAACCAGAUUAGCACUACCCAAUCAUCUGCUGCUAAACGACACUCCAAAACACCCAGGACUUCUAUAAGAACUACAACUACACAAUCUCCAAAGACAACACCUAGAAUCCUGUUUGACUCCACCUCACAGAGCGCUAAGUUGGACCCUUCAAAAAGCACUUUAGGAACUCCAAGAGCUGCUGCAACUGAGGCCUCAAUGCUAAGAUGUAACAUCACUGACAAGAUGUGGAUAAAAACAGGUGCGAUUGCUCAGAUCAAAUGUUGAUCUUUAUGAAAUUGACAGAAAAUUGUUGUACUGUAACUCAGUGUUGUUAUCAUUCAAGUCUGAGUCAAGACUGAGACCAGAUGUGGGUUGAUUCCUAGUUAUGCCCACAAUGUUCCCAAGUCACUGACAAGACCAAGACAAUGAAAAUAUGGUCUUGGACUCAAGUACUACAACAUUUACUGUCAUCUGCCACUGCUGUCAUCAUUCAUGCUGAAUAAGUCUACCUGUACAUGUUUAAUUAAUGAUGAAAGCUAUUUGUUAUCAUGACAAUUCAUGUAGGUGCUACUGAAUCAGUGUUACAUUACUCAAUGAUUGCCUUGAUCUCGAGUCCAAGAACAUAUUUCCAUGAUGGAUUUGGGAGCAUGUGGACUGGGUCUUGACUUGAACUUAACCUUCUUCUGGUCUUGACUGGGGCCCUGUUUACACCUGAUAUUAAGAUGCAUUUUGGUUGAUCAGGUCAUAACAAGCUGAGGAGACACAUUUGUGUUUAUACCUGUUUUUAAUCUGUCUCUUUUGUUCAUUAUUUAUUUCUUUUGUUAUUACUUAGUUUCUUUGAGGGGAGAGUCUAUGGGUGGGUGUAUGUAUAGGAUUUUUCUGAUCUUUAAAUCUUAUAUCGCAAAAUAAGCUCAUGCAAUUCAGUUAUGAGCGUAAAAGGAGACAAUGGUAUAGGACUGUUAAACAUCUUAUAAACCAGGUGUAAACAGGGCCUUGGAUGAACUGUUCCUGACUACAGCACUACUGUAAAAUUCAGUGAGCACUUACAGAAUUAGUAUUACAUAAAUUUACAAUGCAAUUGGUAACCAGUGUUUCUACAAAAAUAUCACAGUUACUCCAGUCUGUGAAAGAAAUGUAUGCCAUAAUCACAAAGAACUGGAGAAGUGGCCUGGUUCUUACAGUAUGUGCUCUAGCAGACUAAAACUAGCUCAAGUCAAGCCACCUUUAUUUGAUAAAUGUUUUAUAUAAUACAGAUUUUUCAACAGCAGCUAAAGUAAUAAUUAGGAAACUAACAGAAUCAAAUUAUUCAAAUAUGAGACAAAAUCAAAUUCUGCUGUCAAGCAGCUCUAAAAAGACAACUGUGUCAUUAUUUUGCUCAAAUCAGUUUUAGUUAAAAAACUUUGUAAAGUCGAUCAAUUAUGAGACAAGUUCAAUUGACCCUUCGCAAAGAUGUCAGUACACACCAUUUUUCAAGUUUAAGUCCACCCAAGUUAAUCUACUCUCCUGACUGGUUUGUUUGUCUGAAAAAAAAAAAAAAAAAUGGUGGAAUUGGCAUUAUGAUUCAUCAAUACCCAUGUAAUAUGCCAGUCCUAACCCUUCCCACCUCAACUGCCUUAUAAAUAAAAGUGGCAAAAGUAUAUUAAAUCA
ensembl:lncRNA